GCUAAAUCACUUUUAUGGUUCUUAUCAAACUAAGCAGUCAGAGUCGUUUGGGGAUCCACAGUGGACAGAGGUGGUCUUUGGUGGCUUUGGUUAGUUGCUUGGCAUUUUUAGCAUUCAAAAAAUGAGCAAACAUUUACAAGUUUCUUUAAUCUUCAUCUUCCUUUUGGUCAUCGGAAUAGCACAGCCAAUCAUUAAUGACUCAAAAAUGGAAAAUUCGGCCCGAAAAACCAGACAAAUCAACAUUAGCUUAGAUCCAAUUAAUGCAGCUCUUGGAACGUUUCGGACGGGUGUAGAAACGGUUAGAUCUAUCAAACAUCUCGUGGAUGAUUUCACCCCUACAAAGAAAAACAUUCGCGUUGCAUCCGUCGACUUGGAUUAUUAUGAUUUUUAAAGCAAUAUUCAGUACUGAUAACUUAUGUCGAAUUUAUGUGAUCCUAUAAAACAAUGUGAUUAUUUCAGUAAAAUAUGGUAAUAAAAAGUGUAAGUUAAACUAAUUGAAAGUGUAAAAUAUUCAAAUAAAAAAUAAUUCAACAAAAAAAA